ensembl:lncRNA
GCAGCUGAAAGGGAGAGAAGGCAGGAAUUGUAAGUGAAUCCCACGGGACCCAGGAAAAAUGCUUCUGACACUGGUGCUCACAUCUCCUCACCAACACCCCUUUGGGUAGAGAGGUCACAAGGACCCGAGGGGGACCUUGGACAGAGACAGACACACUCAGGAAGAACAUUGUGUGAAGACGAAGACAGGGAGAGAGGUGAUGCUUCUACCAGCCAAGGAACACUGAAGAUGCCAGCAACCACCAGAAGGACCGGAAGCUAGAGGGAGAGAGGAGAGCCUUCUUCACAGACCUCAGAAGGAACCCAUGUACCAACACCUUGAUUUUGGACUUCCAGCCUCCGGAACUGUGAGACAAUACAUUUCUGCUGUUUAAGCCCCCUGUUUGUGGUACUCUGCUAUGGCAGCCCGAGCAAACUGAUGCAGGGGGAUGCAGGGAGAGAGGACAGACUUUUUUGCCAUUUGCCAGCUAUGUGAGCCCUGACAAGUUACAGCUCUGGCGGAGACUGGUUUCUUUAUCUGUGAGAUGGGGUUAGCACUAGUGACUCAGAAGGUGGAGUGACAUCUGCAUGGAAGAUUUCAGACCCAUCCCUGACACACAAAACGAUCAGCAUUUAUCACAAAUGUACAAAUUAGUCACCAUUGGGCAUCAUGGGAGGGGACCCUGCGAUGCACUUUAAGUUGCUUCACAAAUACGUGCUUUUCCUCCCCUUUAAAAUUCUAUACUCCUUGUGGGCAGGAAAUGAGUCAUCAUAUUAAAUCCCCAGUGACAUCAGGACAGUUCUCCGAACUCCAUAAAUGGCUCAACAAUACUUCUUUCGAAAUAAGGACACAGACGUUACAGCCCACAGGCUCCAAUGAUGCAGAGAAUCUUGGGCAGCUAGCCUCGCUCCUAAAGGAGACAGAAUGGUCUUUACCAGGUGGCUGUGUCUUCCUGCUGUGGUUCCAAAGUUAGAGAGCUCUGGGCAAGGGGCUGGAGCUGGGGCUGAUGGGUCUGAGCACAGUCAGCCGGGACCUGAUUCCCCUGAAAACUCCUCAUGGAUAUUCUUCAAAAGACCCAGGGUCUUCACAGAACUCUCUAGAAACAACAAUGAUCUCCUUGGAGCCCAAACAGUCCCUGAGCUAUCAGACAGCUGCCACCAUGAAGACCAGCCCUGAGCUAACAUCUGCAGCCAAUCCUCCUCUUUUUGCUGAGGAAGACUGGCUCUGAGCUAACAUCCAUGCUCACCUUCCUCUACUUUCUAUGUGGGACGCCUACCACAUCAUGGCUUGCCAAGCAGUGUCAUGUCCGCACCCGGGAUCCGAACCCGCAAACCCCAGGCCGCCAAAGCAGAACGUGCGCAUUUAACCGCUCUCCCACAGGGCCGGCCCCUCUUGUUCCCUUUUCAUUAUCUUCCCACUCCCACAACUCAAUCCCACCCAGAUCUUUAGUUAUAAUAACAUUUCAAUGCUUUGAGGAGGGAACCUGGAGACCUUGGUCCCCAAAGACCAAUACUGUAGUUUCGCGACAGGGCAGGUGUUAGAGAAAUGAGAAUGCCUUAUGCUGUGCAGCAGGAAAAGUCUGAGCUCCAGAGUCAAACAAACCUGGAUAGAAGACAAGUACCUCUGCUGAUUAGCUGUGUGACUUCGGCAAGUUUCUUAACUUCUCUGAGUCUCCGUUCUCUCUAUCUAUAAAAUGAGGAUAAAGAAAUACCUAUAUUUGCUGGCUUGUUCUGAAGUUUACAGACAAUGAUGUAAAGAGUUCUGGAAAUUGGUUGCACAACAAUCUGAAGAUACUUAAAACUACUGAGUUGUACACUUAAACGGUUAAGAUGGC